rnacentral:rRNA from 1 species
GCUUAACACAUGCAAGUCGAACGGAAACGAUAGAAGCUUGCUUCUAGGCGUCGAGUGGCGGACGGGUGCGUAACGCGUGGGAAUUUACCUUUUAGUGGGGGAUAGCCCGGUGAAAACCGGAUUAAUACCGCAUACUACUCUACGGAGGAAAAGGGGCCUCUCCUUGGAAGCUCUUGCUAUUAGAUGAGCCCGCGUAAGAUUAGCUAGUUGGUUGAGGUAAUGGCUCACCAAGGCAACGAUCUUUAGCUGGUUUGAGAGGAUGAUCAGCCACACUGGGACUGAGACACGGCCCAGACUCCUACGGGAGGCAGCAGUGGGGAAUAUUGGACAAUGGGCGCAAGCCUGAUCCAGCAAUACCGCGUGUGUGAAGAAGGCCUGAGGGUUGUAAAGCACUUUCAAUAGGGACUAAAUGUUCGUAGUUAAUAACUGCGGAUCUUGAAUUAACCUAUAGAAGAAGGACCGGCUAACUCCGUGCCAGCAGCCGCGGUAAUACGGAGGGUCCGAGCGUUAAUCGGAAUUACUGGGCGUAAAGCGCGCGUAGGCGGUUUAUUAAGUCGGAUGUGAAAGCCCUGGGCUCAACCUGGGAACUGCAUUCGAUACUGGUAAACUAGAGUAUAGUAGAGGUAAGUGGAAUUCCAUGUGUAGCGGUGAAAUGCGUAGAUAUGUGGAGGAACAUCAGUGGCGAAGGCGACUUACUGGACUAAUACUGACGCUGAGGUGCGAAAGCGUGGGGAGCAAACGGGAUUAGAUACCCCGGUAGUCCACGCCGUAAACGAUGUCAACUAGCCGUUGGGAGCAUUUGAGCUUUUAGUGGCGCAGCUAACGCAUUAAGUUGACCGCCUGGGGA